rnacentral:lncRNA from 1 species
GUCCCGAGCCCAGCCUCUCCGGGGAGGAGGGACCCGGCGGCGCGGCGUGGGUCGGGAGCGGGCGCCUGGGACUACUUCUCGUUUGAAAGUUUUCAGAGGCCAAAAGUUUGAGCCGGGGCUGCGGAAGGAUCCGGCUCUGGCGGUUGCCGCGCUCGGCGACAACUGGCGACUGAAAUUUGCAUAGAAGAGAGUGGCCCAUUCGGUGUCCACCCGUCAGGCCACCCAGCAGCCAGGCACGCUCAUAAGCCCGCGUUACGGAUGGUGCGGCCGGGUGCACAGGCCCGAGGGAAGCACAGGCCUCGGCCUCCCAGCUCCCAACCCCUGCACCACCCACAGCCGGGAGUACCCCAUGGACAGCUGUGGCCGAGGAGAAGCCAGGGAUGAGGGGGAUGGGCCUCACCUCCCCACCAGCCUGGGAAGGGGGUAGGCCCCUGGCAAGUAGGUGAGAAGCUUUUUCAUUCACAAGUUGUCCGGGCUCCCCAUUCCUCUUUGUCAGGCCAGCGGGUGUGGGCAGUCGGGGGAGGCUGGGGUCCUGACACAACAGGAGUACAUCUGCUGGCCUAGGGCCUGGAGACCUUCUCCUACAGGUCGGGAGGCAGCCCUGGGCAGCGGGCAUUGCGGGGACUAAAGAGAAACAAGAGCAGGUUGUGUGCAGGGCACCCCAGCCACUCCAGAAACCCAAUGGGAGGGUGGGGGCUAGGACCCCAAGAAGCUGAAUUGGGGUGCAGUGCCGCCAGGCCUCCCCUGUAGGAGUCACUUUGGGCUUCCUGUCCCAACUUGUGGUGGGAGCUGGGGCAAGGUUCCAGGGGUACCCCGAAUGAAUGGGGCUGUUCCCAAGCUGGCCAGGGAGCCUGGAAGCAGAUGAGAUGGGGCCGCAGAGCCUGGUUUGCGGAGGGGAGAGGCAGACGUGUCCUGCAGCCCUCUCUUCUUCAGAGGCCCCCUGCGGGUGCUGAGGGGAGAGUGGCUUAGGCGUUGCACCCCAGGAGACUGAACUGGGUCAGUUCCCCCUUGUUUGCUGCCAGAGAAAUGGGGGUACCAUUGUCAGGGUGAGCUAAGGAGGCCCUGCUGACAUUGGCCCAACCAGGCCCCUCCUUUGCGGCUGCUGUGGGGACUUUCGAGAGCAGAGCACACCCCUAAGUGCGUGGAGAGGUAAGCACAGCUGGUGAGCACACGGGGACAGCGACGGAGCUCAUGGAGACCCAGGUGACCUUAAAACACCCCAGGGCCGGCUCCGGCCCCAGAGAGAUGUGGUCCGAGUAGAGGGGGGUCAGCAGUGACCUGGUGGGUGGGUGUAUUUGAGGGGUGCCUGUGUUGAAAGCUCUGCAGUAGAUUCUAAGGAGCAGCCAGGGCUGAGACUCCCGGUGCUGAGCCCAAGGCCCCUUUCCUUCCUGCAGGAGUUCAUCUUGGCUCUUGCAGCCCCCAUGACCCUGUGGCGCUGGGGGGCGGCUAGCAUGAUGCUCCCCAUUUUUCAGGAGGGAAGCUGAGGCUCAGAGACAUCAUGAGGAUGCCAGCUCAAGGCCCAGCCAGGCCUUGGUCCUCAGCUGCUGUCAUCCAGUAGGGUAAGUGGGACCCCCAGGAGGUGUUGGGGGACACUCCUCCCCUCCCCCACACUCACAGUCUGUUCACCGCCCAAGGCAGCAGGCUGGACUCGGUGCAGGGACCAUGGCUUGGCGUGGCCAGGUUGGAGUGGCCCCUGGGACUGAAAGCAGGGGGCGUGGGGGCUCUGAGGCGGGGCCGAGUGCGGGGACGUCCUGUGGCGGGUACCCUGCUGGGUCCUGGGUGGGGGCCACCACCAGGCAGCUGUGGGAACAUUCCAGACCACCUAGGAGUAGGGCCCCUUCACCGUUUGAAGCUGACUGUAAAAAACAUCUGACCUGUGUGCAAAGCUCAAGCCCAGAGGCCUCCAGGGUGUCCAGCCUCCAGGGUGCCUCCUACGCAGCCUCCACGUCCCCAUCCACUGCAGCCCCUGACCAUCGGGCACACCGUGGGGCCUUCGCUGGCCGCCGGGCCUCAGGUUCUGCUGCACCAAGUGAUUUUUAAAGCCCCAUCUGCCUUUCUCCACUUAUAAAGAACUUGGGACAUU